ensembl:snRNA U6 U6 spliceosomal RNA
AAGAAAAAAAAUUGUAACAAUACAGAGAAGAUUAGCACUACUCCUGCACAAGGAUGACAUGCAAAUUCGCGAAGUGUUCCAUAUUUUU